UGUGUUUGACAUCCCUGGUAUAGCAGAUCUCAUCUGAUCUUAGAAGAUGGCCCUGGUUAGUACUUUGAUGGGAGACUGCUGGGAAUACCAGGUGAUACAG
rnacentral:rRNA from 1 species